GCCAGCAGAAACAAACCUUUCAGGAGCCCCACGGAAAGCAAGCUCUGCAGAAGAGGAUCCCUUCCCAGAACCCUUGAAAGAGGAAGGUGCCUCUGACCAAAGCUCUUUGCUAAGAGAGAUGAAUGAUGCAAUAGCAGCUCUGAGCAAGCAUCUGAAGGCACAGGCUCUGGGUGCACCCCCUGCCCUGGCAGACACUGCCUGGCACCCCUGGGACAAUGCUGAGCCCCACACGGGGCCAGAGGCAGCAACAACCCAUGAAACAACCCCUGGGGUCCUGCAGGAGACCCUCCCUGGCCACAUCCACCGUGAGCUGCUGGAAGGAGACCUGCAGGAGGGACCAGGCACAGCUGGGCUUCGUGCUCUGGAUGUGACACAGGCUGGUGGGUCUGCAGGAGCCGGGCACUGCACGGCUCAGGAGGCAGGGGCAGAGCAGGGAGAGAGCCCAGAGGAGGCACAGAGGAUGUUAUUCCUGCCAGGAAAAGGAGAUGAUGUGUGGCGGCUUUGUGCUCCGGGACAGGCAGCCCAAAGGGAGCUUCAGGAGCAGGUUUCAGCACAGGGACAUGAGGGGAGGCCUCACAUGGUGACCCAACAGCCAGAGAGGGAGACACCACCCACGAGGGAACCGGAGCACACGGCUGCUGGAGCUGCUGAGCAUCCGAAGCAAGAGGUGCCACCAGCAUCACCACUGCACAAAGCAGUGAGAGAAGGAGAUGCUGGCAGUGAUCAGCUGGGGGUGGUCCUCAGAGAAAACUCACUGGGGCAAAGGCAGCUCUUGGGAGAACAGAGCAAAGACAUCACUGUUGGUCAACGAGAGAAGGUGCGAGAGUUUGGUGAGAAAAUGAGCCAGGAGGGUGAGCCCAGCUCAGGAGAGCCAGGGGCUGUGACUGCAGCUGGGGCAGCUCCACAGGGUUGUCCUAGAGCUGCCCUGGACCCAGAGCACCUGUACAACGUGCUGUUUGUUGGGGACUCCCACGUGGGCAAAACGUCGUUCCUGUACCGCCUGCACGCCGACACCUUCAACCCCCACCUGACAGCCACUGUGGGUAGGUCUCCUCCAGCCCCCUCCAAGAACUCACUUAAAUUCCUGCAAUUCCCUUUCCUCCACUCCACAAGCUGCUGGAGGUCCCCACACGCCUGUUACAGCUCACACCAAGCGUGUUGUACAAGCAGUCCCCAG
rnacentral:lncRNA from 1 species